rnacentral:lncRNA from 1 species
UUUUUUGUGUUUAAUGCCACUUUCAUCACUACCGGCUUUUUCAUUGCGGACAGUUUUUAUCAGUAGAAAAGUAAAAAAAAAAACAAGUGGUAGCAUCAGCAAAGUGAAUAUAUCAUUCAUAUAUAUCUGUAGUCGCUGGGAUGCUGUCUCAUUGAGGGAAACUCGCAUCUCCUUUUCUAUAUUCAGCGUGCACAUGUCGUUUGCUUAUUUUU